rnacentral:rRNA from 1 species
AUUGAACGCUGGCGGCAGGCCUAACACAUGCAAGUCGAGCGGAUGAAGGGAGCUUGCUCCUGGAUUCAGCGGCGGACGGGUGAGUAAUGCCUAGGAAUCUGCCUGGUAGUGGGGGAUAACGUCCGGAAACGGGCGCUAAUACCGCAUACGUCCUGAGGGAGAAAGUGGGGGAUCUUCGGACCUCACGCUAUCAGAUGAGCCUAGGUCGGAUUAGCUAGUUGGUGGGGUAAAGGCCUACCAAGGCGACGAUCCGUAACUGGUCUGAGAGGAUGAUCAGUCACCCGGGAACGGAGACACGGCCCAGGAUCCUAGGGGAGGCAGAGGGGGGGAAUUUUGGAAAAGGGGCGAAAGCCUGAUCCAGCCAGGCCGGGGGGGUGAAGAAGGGCUUCGGUUUGUAAAGCACUUUAAGUUGGGAGGAAGGGCAGUAAGUUAAUACCUUGCUGUUUUGACGUUACCAACAAAAUAAGCACCGGCCAACUUCGU